UACUGCGCGGUGCAUGCCGUGUGGUGGAAAGAUUUAUCGGUGCAGGAUGGGCCCGCGGCCUAUCAGCUUGUUGGUGGGGUAAUGGCCUACCAAGGCGACGACGGGUAGCCGGCCUGAGAGGGCGACCGGCCACACUGGGACUGAGACACGGCCCAGACUCCUACGGGAGGCAGCAGUGGGGAAUAUUGCACAAUGGGCGCAAGCCUGAUGCAGCGACGCCGCGUGAGGGAUGACGGCCUUCGGGUUGUAAACCUCUUUCAGCAGGGACGAAGCGCAAGUGACGGUACCUGCAGAAGAAGCACCGGCCAACUACGUGCCAGCAGCCGCGGUAAUACGUAGGGUGCAAGCGUUGUCCGGAAUUACUGGGCGUAAAGAGCUCGUAGGCGGUUUGUCGCGUCGUCUGUGAAAACCAGCAGCUCAACUGUUGGCUUGCAGGCGAUACGGGCAGACUUGAGUAUUUCAGGGGAGACUGGAAUUCCUGGUGUAGCGGUGAAAUGCGCAGAUAUCAGGAGGAACACCGGUGGCGAAGGCGGGUCUCUGGGAAAUAACUGACGCUGAGGAGCGAAAGCGUGGGUAGCGAACAGGAUUAGAUACCCUGGUAGUCCACGCCGUAAACGGUGGGCGCUAGGUGUGGGUUUCCUUCC
rnacentral:rRNA from 1 species